CUGCUAGCAUGGGUCUGGACACUGAACCUUGCAGAUGCUAACAGUGGUGGAAGAGGUCUGGACAGUAGGUUCUGGCCAAGGAGAUGACAUUCAGGAUGCCCUUUCUAUCAUCGCACCAAAGCAGCUGAGGAGCUCCUGUUACAGAGCAGACUCUGCACUCUUCAGCAAGGGCUUGAUCUUGAAG